rnacentral:rRNA from 1 species
UGAUUUCCUUAGUACGGCGAGUGAAAGGAAUUGUCCAUCGCAAAGGUAGCACAACAUUUAACGCUGUUGUACUACGGUGCUGCGUAUAAUUCACUAGAGUAUAUCUAGCACAGUGAGUGAAGUGUUUGCAAAUCCUAUUGAAUGGGGUACUUUUUUUCCAUAGUUGGUGCAAGACCAAUAGCGAACAUUAACAUUCUCACUGUGUUUUACUCUAUAGUGAAACAGAGUUAGUUUGCUUGAGAGUGCAAACUGAAGUAGAAGGUAAACUUCUUCUAAGACUAAAUACGAUGGUAAUACCGAUAGCAAACAAGUACCGUGAGGGAAAGUUGCAAAGAACUUUGAAGAGAGAGUUCAAAAGGACGUGAAACUGUUCUCAGGGAAACGGUUAGAACCACGAAGUGUAACUUGGUUUAAGAAUUCAAUUUCUUUUGUUAAAUGUAAUUUAAAUACUGUAUCUACAGCAUAUUAUAUGAUUGUGGUAUACGGUGUUUGAAGAAUAAUACAUUCAAUAGAGAUGCAUUUUCUUGUAACCAUUGUUUGAACCUCGACUUAUGGGAGGGCUUAUUAUAGACAAAACUAUAAUAAUUACAUGUAUUGGUCUAUAUUGACUUGUAGUAUACUGAUAAAGCAGUAUACUAUAAUGCCAAUUAAUCGCUAUUUCACAAGUGAAACACUUUAAUAUCAUUCAUCUGAUAUUAUAUGUGUGUAAUUGUGCUAAUAGUGAUACAUCAAUACUCAUAUACUCCUAUAAGGUAAUAAAACUCUAAUUCUUAACGAAAGAGUCAUAACAGUACUAAUUGAAUCUGUGUCAGUAUAGCUUAAUAUAAAUGUAG